AUGCGGGUUCCAUUUAAAAAAUUUAAAAUGACUUUGAGCUGACCUUAAUUUGUCUUUCUUCGAACUAUACAACUUUUGCUUAAAAUUUUUAAUAUGUUUGUACAUACGCGGACAUACAACGCGUUUUUUCUAUCAGUUAUUGCGAAGAAUAUUUCCGAAGCCUCAAUGGUCGAGCUGACUAAGAUACUCUUCCCGGAUAGUUGAGAAGUUCCAGGUUCGAGGCCUCUGACUGAGCUGUGAACGCGCUACCUAAGCGCGGCCGUCGACGCUCGCCAAUAGAAGGACUUUCUUAUUAUUGGUGCCUUUUUUUUCCACAUUCCUUGCUACAUUCUUUGUCCAUUUUAUGGUCCCGGAAAUGCCGGAAUUUACGAAUAACAUCAGUGGAAAUCCAGAAUCAUGAUCGGCGAUGAAUUCUGUAUACGAUGCAGAGGGAAAAUGGAUUUAUAACAUGUCAAAUAUUAUUCAUAUUUUCUAUUAAAGAAAAAAAUAAAAAAUCA